AUAUGCUCUUCCCUGAACUCUGUUGCAUACCAUCAGAACCUUUAAAAUAUGCCCCCCUCCAUCAACAGUUACACAUUGUCUCUGGGUAAGCAUCUCACUGUACUUGGCACUGGUGAGGCCUCAGCUGGUGUACUGUGGCCAGUUCUGGGCUCCACACUUUAAGAAAGAUCUGGACAAAUUGGAGAAAGUCCAGAAGAGAGCAACUAAAGGACAAAAGGUUUAGAAAAUGUACUGAGAGAGAGCACAGGGAGUAAGAGGAAGCAAGAGAGCUGUCCGCAGGAGACUUAAAGCCUGGAGCAGACAUGCUAAAUGAGCUAACCAGAGACACCUGAUGUGGGGAGGGAACUGCAAGCAGCUGUCUCCUUACAAGAGAGCUGAAGUAGUUGUUUGGGAGAACUGACCCCAGGAAGUUUACAAAGAAGUCUUCUCUGAGCAGGAUAGCUGUAAGCCAAAGCCAGGUUCUGAGGUUUUGGUCCCAGAUUGAAAUCCCGAGAAUUCUUCUUUCAAUCUGUGAUUGAGUCCCCAGUGAAGUGAUCAGACAGCAAAGUGGAUUGCAGGACAUCAUUGUGGGAAGCAGGUACAGUAAAAUGCAAUGGGCCAGGCAUAUAACUAGGCUCACUGACAAUCAAUGAACUACAGCUGCUGCCGAAUGGUACCCACAGGAACUGAAAUGACCACUCGACCAACCUCCAAAGAGAUGGGAAGAUUUUAUCGUGAAAAGACAUGGCCGCACAUGGAGAAGAAUGGCCAGGAUAAGAGAAGAAUGGAAGAUGUGUUGUGAUCGGUGCAAUCUAUAUGAGGGUUGAAGGAAUGAUCGAGCAAGGUGAUCAAGGUGCAGUGGAUCCCACGGGCUGGCACAAUGCCCAGGACCUUCCACUCUCCGGCUGAUUUAGAGGCUUUGAGGAGAAGCACUGGAGAGUCCAGACAACUGUUGGAUUUCGUCGCUGGCAAGGAGGCCCUGUGGGAUGAUGGACACCAGGAAUGCAGGAUGGCAGGAAUGGUGGUGAACGGUCUCCUUUUCCUCAAUCUCACAGCGGGACCGAUGGUGUUCUUCACUCUUCAGCUCUGGAGCACUGUGAAGACCCGACCGUGUACGUACUGUCGCUGGGGUGGAUAGCCCUGCAGAGGCCCUGAACAAGUCCUUAUAUCACUUUUGUGGCGGGAAAAGUUCUGAGGAGAUGGAACACUGAGGGCUGGUUUUGGCGGGAAAAAAUGGUUUUGACUGGCUUGAGCCUGUGUCUUGAUGGUAAACAAGUCCACUCUCAGAGAUGGAGUCCAAGGGUCAAUAGUUCAUAUGCUCCAUAUUGGAUCUUAUUUUAAAGCCAGUGAUUUACUUCAUAAACACCUUAUUAAACAACUAAUUGAACAUAUUAAACAGUUUAUACUUCUUACACCUAGCACCAUGUAGGGAAAUUACUGAUGAACCCAGGGAGCUAAGCAGCACAUACCUCCUUCUCAGCUGCCCUGGAACCUGCAUGGUGCAUAAUAAGCAAAAACUUCCCCUGCAAACCCCACAACUGGUGUCUGGCAGCCGCAGGUGCACUAGGGGAGGCUUAGCUUUUUUUUAACGGGAGUUUUUGUAGGUAUUUGGAACUCCCGUAUUUGUCACUAACUAGAACUGAACUGAGCAGAUGGCAAGGAAUGACCACAUCCCUCCACUGCUGAGAGAGAUAUUUGGAGGUGUGGAAAAGAAAGACUAAGACCCCACUAGUGUGGAAAUCUGGAUACAGGUUUCCCUCUAGCAAAUGACUGCUGAAAAGCUAAAAUUCAGAAAAGUGAUUAAAAGAAAGCCAAGAUUAAAAAUCAGAGCGAGUCAAACAGCCUCUUUCAGGGGAAGGUGCCUUUUAUGGAUACUGUGUGGGGAGCACAGCCCCAGAUUAUUUAGCUUGAGAAAAGAUACAAAACAAGGGUAAUGAUAUCUGUAUAAUACUGGAUACCAGCCAGGUGGCUCAUCAUGGAUAUUAUAAAUGAACAAGUCUAUUGGGUUGCCUUGAGUUGAAGAAUUGUUGCCUACAGUAUGUUCACAAUGAUCAUAUACUACAUGAACUUGGUGAUCUUUCCUGACUAGUUCCUUUUGAAAAGACAGGAAUAUUUGGUCCCUACGUCUGCAUUGGCUCUAAUGGUAAGAAGGUGCUAGUGAGCUGUUGUCCAUAAUCCCAUGCAUAUGCACAAAGAGGAAGAAACUUUUAAAUACUUAAGUACAACUGGAAUCACAACAAGUUCCUGCCCCGGUUCCACAUUGGGUGGUAUUUGUACAGUUCCAUAGGUGUGGAUAACACUUCACAGAUAUAUAAAAAAGGCAGUCCCUGCCCUGAGGAAUGUACAAUCUAACUUGGAUUGUUAUAGACAAAAUGGGAGUUGUUGGAGAGCAGGAAGGAACUGAAGGGCAUGUAAUUUAGAUUGUUAGGUUAGGCUCAUUUAUUAUUGCAAGGGUUUUCUAAGAAGAUCAUGAAAGAAGAUCAUGGAAAAUUCCUAAUUCUGAUGUAGGAGCAGAAGCAUGGGCAGCACUGGGCGGCAUGGUCAGUUGAUUUUCUCAUGUAGUUUUAACUAGACUUUUCCACUUCCUCCCUGAAUCUGAUGUCAUUUUUCUACAUGCUGUUAAACAGUUGCUACCUUUGUCUCCAGGGGAGGCUGCAUAUCAGUGUGGGUGAAACAGUUCCUUUAUGUCUUGUUAGUAAAGCAUUUUGGGAUCCUUCUGGAUGAAAGGCACUACAGAAGUGUAAGAUAUUAUUUUUAUUUUAGGUGAUUGAACUACAGAUGGUGGGUGUGACAAAGAAAUAAGAAAUCCGAAGAAGUGAGCUGCAGCUCACGAAAGCGCAUGCUAAAAUAAAUUUGUUAGUCUUUA